rnacentral:misc_RNA from 1 species
AACUUUUGGCAAUGGAUCUCUUGGCUCUCGCAUCGAUGAAGAACGCAGCGAAAUGGGAUAAGUAAUGUGAAUUGCAGAAUUCAGUGAAUCAUCGAAUCUUUGAACGCACCUUGCGCUCCUUGGUAUUCCGAGGAGCAUGCCGUUUUGAGUGUCAUUAAAUUAUCAACCUCAUCAGUUUUGUCACCGGAACUGUGUGAAGGCCUGGAUGUGGAGGUUUAUGCAGUCUGACUCAGUGCGGUCUGCUCCUCUGAAAUGCAUUAGCGAGUUUCACUAUGCUCCGUCUAUUGGUGUGAUAAUUAUCUACGCCGUGGAAGGGGUUUAGAUUUGCUUGUACCCCUCCGCAAGGUAAACACUUUGACAUUUUGACAUCAACUCAGGUAGGAAUACCAGCUGAACUUAAGAAUAUCAAUAAGCGGAGGCU